rnacentral:snoRNA from 1 species
AGGACGCGAAUUGAAAAUUAUCCGCGCUUCUGAUGCUUCGUGCAGUGAAGUAAAAAUGGAUGGUUGAAUUUCUUGAUAUGAGCCA